GUUGUAUAGUCAAGUAAUUAAGUGCAUGUGGUGGAUGCCUUGGCAGUCAGAGGCGAUGAAAGACGUGAUAGCCUGCGAAAAGCUCCGGGGAGGCGGCAAAUAUCCUUUGAUCCGGAGAUGUCUGAAUGGGGGAACCCACCUACUUUAAGGUAGGUAUUGCAACAUGAAUACAUAGUGUUGCAAGGCGAACGAGGGGAAGUGAAACAUCUCAGUACCCUUAGGAAAAGAAAUCAAUUGAGAUUCCCUCAGUAGCGGCGAGCGAACGGGGAUCAGCCCAUUAAGUUAUGUGUGUUUUAGUGGAACGCUCUGGGAAGUGCGAACGUAGAGGGUGAUAUUCCCGUACACGAAAGGGCACACAUAAUGAUGACGAGUAGGGCGAGGCACGUGAAACCUUGUCUGAAUAUGGGGGGACCAUCCUCCAAGGCUAAAUACUCCUGACUGACCGAUAGUGAACCAGUACCGUGAGGGAAAGGCGAAAAGAACCCCUGUGAGGGGAGUGAAAUAGAUCCUGAAACCGCAUGCAUACAAGCAGUGGGAGCACCUUCGUGGUGUGACUGCGUACCUUUUGUAUAAUGGGUCAGCGACUUAUAUUCAGUAGCGAGGUUAACCGUAUAGGGGAGCCGUAGAGAAAUCGAGUCUUAAUAGGGCGUUUAGUUGCUGGGUAUAGACCCGAAACCAGGCGAUCUAUCCAUGAGCAGGUUGAAGGUUGGGUAACACUAACUGGAGGACCGAACCCACUGUCGUUGAAAAGCCAGGGGAUGACUUGUGGAUAGGGGUGAAAGGCUAAUCAAGCCUGGUGAUAGCUGGUUCUCCCCGAAAGCUAUUUAGGUAGCGCCUCGGACGAAUACCAUAGGGGGUAGAGCACUGUUUCGGCUAGGGGGUCAUCCCGACUUACCAAACCGAUGCAAACUCCGAAUACCUAUGAGUACUAUCCGGGAGACAGACUGCGGGUGCUAACGUCCGUAGUCAAGAGGAAAACAAUCCAGACCGCCAGCUAAGGCCCCAAAAUCAUAGUUAAGUGGGAAACGAUGUGGGAAGGCAUAGACAGCUAGGAGGUUGGCUUAGAAGCAGCCACCCUUUAAAGAAAGCGUAAUAGCUCACUAGUCGAGUCGGCCUGCGCGGAAGAUGUAACGGGGCUAAAACUAUGUGCCGAAGCUGCGGAUNNNNNNNNNNNNNNNNNNNNNNNNNNNNNNNNNNNAUGCUGGAGGUAUCAGAAGUGCGAAUGCUGACGUGAGUAACGACAAAACGGGUGAAAAACCCGUUCGCCGAAAGACCAAGGGUUCCAGUCCAACGUUAAUCGGGGCUGGGUGAGUCGACCCCUAAGGCGAGGCCGAAAGGCGUAGUCGAUGGGAAAAUGGUUAAUAUUCCAUUACUUCUGUGUAAUGCGAUGAGAGGACGGAGAAGGCUAAAUCAGCCUGGCGUUGGUUGUCCAGGUGAAAGGAUGUAGGCAUGUAUCUUAGGCAAAUCCGGGGUACUCUAUGCUGAGAUCUGAUAGCAAGCUGUACUUGUACAGCGAAGUGGUUGAUGCCAUGCUUCCAGGAAAAGUCUCUAAGCUUCAGUUACACAGGAAUCGUACCCGAAACCGACACAGGUGGUCAGGUCGAGUAGACCAAGGCGCUUGAGAGAACUCUGCUGAAGGAACUAGGCAAAAUGGUACCGUAACUUCGGGAGAAGGUACGCUGUUGUUGGUGAUGGAACUCGCUUCCUGAGCUGACGACAGCCGCAGAAACCAGGCCGCUGCAACUGUUUAUUAAAAACAUAGCACUCUGCAAACACGAAAGUGGACGUAUAGGGUGUGAUGCCUGCCCGGUGCUGGAAGGUUAAUUGAUGGGGUUAGCGUAAGCGAAGCUCUUGAUCGAAGCCCCAGUAAACGGCGGCCGUAACUAUAACGGUCCUAAGGUAGCGAAAUUCCUUGUCGGGUAAGUUCCGACCUGCACGAAUGGCAUAAUGAUGGCGGCGCUGUCUCCAGCAGAGGCUCAGUGAAAUCGAAAUCGCUGUGAAGAUGCAGUGUACCCGCGGCUAGACGGAAAGACCCCGUGAACCUUUACUGCAGCUUGACACUGAACUUUGACCUUACUUGUGUAGGAUAGGUGGGAGGCUUUGAAGCUGGAACGCUAGUUCCAGUGGAGCCGUCCUUGAAAUACCACCCUGGUAAUGUUGAGGUUCUAACUCUGUCCCGUGAUCCGGGACGAGGACCGUGUCUGGUGGGUAGUUUGACUGGGGCGGUCUCCUCCUAAAGAGUAACGGAGGAGUACGAAGGUGCGCUCAGCGUGGUCGGAAAUCACGCGUAGAGUAUAAAGGCAAAAGCGCGCUUAACUGCGAGACCCACAAGUCGAGCAGGUACGAAAGUAGGUCUUAGUGAUCCGGUGGUUCUGUAUGGAAGGGCCAUCGCUCAACGGAUAAAAGGUACUCUGGGGAUAACAGGCUGAUACCGCCCAAGAGUUCAUAUCGACGGCGGUGUUUGGCACCUCGAUGUCGGCUCAUCUCAUCCUGGGGCUGAAGCAGGUCCCAAGGGUAUGGCUGUUCGCCAUUUAAAGAGGUACGCGAGCUGGGUUUAGAACGUCGUGAGACAGUUCGGUCCCUAUCUACCGUGGGCGCUGGAAAUUUGAGAGGAUCUGCUCCUAGUACGAGAGGACCAGAGUGGACGAACCUCUGGUGUACCGGUUGUGACGCCAGUCGCAUCGCCGGGUAGCUAUGUUCGGAAGGGAUAACCGCUGAAAGCAUCUAAGCGGGAAGCCUACCUCAAGAUAAGAUUUCCCUAGGACUUUAUGUCCUCUAAAGAGCCGUUCGAGACUAGGACGUUGAUAGGUUGGAUGUGGAAGCAUAGUGAUAUGUGAAGCUGACCAAUACUAAUUGCUCGUGAGGCUUGACUAUACAACACCCAAGCAGUUG
rnacentral:rRNA from 1 species